rnacentral:rRNA from 1 species
UACGGGGGGGGCAAGCGUUGUUCGGAAUUACUGGGCGUAAAGGGCUCGUAGGUGGCCAACUAAGUCAGACGUGAAAUCCCUCGGCUUAACCGGGGAACUGCGUCUGAUACUGGAUGGCUAGAGAUUGGGAGAGGGAUGCGGAAUUCCAGGUGUAGCGGUGAAAUGCGUAGAUAUCUGGAGGAACACCGGUGGCGAAGGCGGCAUCCUGGACCAACACUGACGCUGAGUGCGCGAAAGCCAGGGGAGCAAACGGG